rnacentral:rRNA from 1 species
CCUACGGGAUGCAGCAGUGAGGAAUAUUGGUCAAUGGCCGUAAGGCUGAACCAGCCAAGUAGCGUGAGGGAAGACUGCCCUAUGGGUUGUAAACCUCUUUUAUGCGGGGAUAAAGGUGUCCACGUGUGGAUGUUUGCAGGUACCGCAUGAAUAAGGACCGGCUACUUCCGUGCCAGCAGCCGCGUUAAUCCGGAGGGUCCGGGCGUUAUCCGGAUUUAUUGGGUUUAAGGGGAGCGUAGGCCGGUCUUUAGGCGUGCCGUGACAUUUUGUGGCUAAACGAUGGGAGUGCGGCGCGAACUGGAGACCUUGAGUGUGGGGAAGGCAGGCGGAAUUCGUGGUGUAGCGGUGAAAUGCGUAGAGAUCACGAAGAACCGCGAUUGCGAAGGCAGCCUGCCGAAGCGUUACUGACGCUGAAGCUCGAAAGCGCGGGUAUCGAACAGGAUUAGAUACCCGGGUAGUC